rnacentral:rRNA from 1 species
CAGCCGCCGCGGGAAUACGGAGGGUGCAAGCGUUAUCCGGAUUUAUUGGGUUUAAAGGGUCAGUAGGCGGAUCUGUAAGUCAGUGGUGAAAUCUCACAGCUUAACUGUGAAACUGCCAUUGAUACUGCAGGUCUUGAGUAAAUUUGAAGUGGCUGGAAUAAGUAGUGUAGCGGUGAAAUGCAUAGAUAUUACUUAGAACACCAAUUGCGAAGGCAGGUUACUAAGAUUUAACUGACGCUGAUGGACGAAAGCGUGGGGAGCGAACAGGAUUAGAUACCCCGGUAGUCCCUGUCUCUUAUAC